rnacentral:rRNA from 1 species
UACGUAGGGACCAAGCGUUGUUCGGAUUUACUGGGCGUAAAGGGCGCGUAGGCGGCUUAACAAGUCACUUGUGAAAUCUCCGGGCUUAACUCGGAACGGCCAAGUGAAACUGUCAAGCUAGAGUGCAGAAGGGGCAAUCGGAAUUCUUGGUGUAGCGGUGAAAUGCGUAGAGAUUAGGAAGAACACCAGUGGCGAAGGCGACUUACUGGACUGUAACUGACGCUGAGGCAUGAAAGCGUGGGGAGCAAACAGG